AAUAGAUACCCUGGUAGUCCACGCCGUAAACGAUGGAUACUAGCUGUUGGGGGCAACUUCAGUGGCUAAGCGAAAGUGAUAAGUAUCCCACCUGGGGAGUACGAACGCAAGUUUGAAACUCAAAGGAAUUGACGGGGGCCCGCACAAGCGGUGGAGCAUGUGGUUUAAUUCGAUGAUACGCGAGGAACCUUACCAAGGCUUAAAUGCGAGACGUGACCGAUUUGGAAACAGAUCUUUCGCAAGACAGUUUACAAGGUGCUGCAUGGUUGUCGUCAGCUCGUGCCGUGAGGUGUCAGGUUAAGUCCUAUAACGAGCGCAACCCUGUUGUUAGUUGCCAGCGAGUCAUGUCGGGAACUCUAACAAGACUGCCAGUGCAAACUGUGAGGAAGGUGGGGAUGACGUCAAAUCAUCACGGCCCUUACGCCUUGGGCUACACACGUGCUACAAUGGCCGGUACAGAGAGCAGCCACCUCGCGGAGGGGGAGCGAAUCUAUAAAGCCGGUCACAGUUCGGAGUCGGAGUCUGCAACUC
rnacentral:rRNA from 1 species